UCAAACUUGGUCAUUUAGAGGAAGUAAAAGUCGUAACAAGGUUUCCGUAGGUGAACCUGCGGAAGGAUCAUUAUCAAAUCCAUCCGUGGUCUGUGCGCGCGCGGAGGGGGCACGCAAGUGUCUCCCCUCCCGUGCGCACGGACCCGACACACCACGUUGAAUUGUUUCCCUGGGAUGGUCCUCCUCUCCUCUGGGGCGGAUCUCCCAUGGGGUGUUUACACACACCACACACAUCGUUGCUUCCUACGAACAACAAACACAACCUAGUAGACAACUUAUAACAAUGGAUCUCUAGGCUCUUGCAUCGAUGAAGAACGCAGC
rnacentral:misc_RNA from 1 species